rnacentral:rRNA from 1 species
UACGUAGGGUGCAAGCGUUGUCCGGAAUUAUUGGGCGUAAAGAGCUCGUAGGCGGUCUGUCGCGUCGGACGUGAAAAUCCAGGGCUCAACCCUGGACCUGCGUUCGAUACGGGCAGACUAGAGUUCGGUAGGGGAGACUGGAAUUCCUGGUGUAGCGGUGAAAUGCGCAGAUAUCAGGAGGAACACCGGUGGCGAAGGCGGGUCUCUGGGCAACAACUGACGCUGAGGAGCGAGAGCGUGGGGAGCGAACAGG